ensembl:miRNA Mir3961 microRNA 3961
AGAGGACCAAAUGCACUCAGAGCAGUUGAGUAUCAUCUGCCCUCAGCUCAGUUGGACAA